rnacentral:rRNA from 1 species
ACAAGUACCGUGAGGGAAAGUUGCAAAGCACUUUGAAGAGAGAGUUAAAGAGGACGUGAAACCGAUAAGAUGGAAACGGAUAGAGUUAGCGUAUCUGGCUUGCAUUCAGCCAUUCGGUUGUUGAUUACCUGGUUUUUGGCACCAGACUGGGCCGAUUCUGGGCAUUUUGGCUGCCGAAGGGUGCAUUUGUGAGUCGAGUGCGUCGAGGCGUUCGGUCAAGUGGCAUGAGCCUGGUUUUGAGGCCAUUCCGCAAGGAUAUGGUACCCAAACUGGGGGAAUGCUAUUUUCGCUGGGCGACCAAAGAGCAUGGCACACGGGUUUGGAUUUGUUUCAUGUUGAUCGCCGGUUACGGUCGCGUGCGACACGUGCUGGUUGUUGGUUUGAACGGGUUCCGACUCUCGUGCUUGUCCUCGAUGUAAAAGCUGGUCAUCUAUCCGACCCGUCUUGAAACACGGACCAAGGAGUUUAGCGUGUUCGCGAGUCAUUGGGUAUUGAAAACCCAAGGGCGAAAUGAAAGUGAAGGUACUCGCAAGAGGCUGACGUGUGAUCCUGCGCACCUCGGUGCGCAGGCGCAACAUGGCCCCGUCCCGACUGCAUGCAGUGGGGCGGAGGCAGAGCGUAUGCGCUGAGACCCGAAAGAUGGUGAACUAUUCCUGAGCAGGAUGAAGCCAGAGGAAACUCUGGUGGAAGUCCGAAGCGAUUCUGACGUGCAAAUCGAUCGUCUGACUUGGGUAUAGGGGCGAAAGACUAAUCGAACCAUCUAGUAGCUGGUUCCUUCGCAAAGGGC